UGGGGAAUAUUGCACAAUGGGCGCAAGCCUGAUGCAGCCAUGCCGCGUGUAUGAAGAAGGCCUUCGGGAUGUAAAGUACUUUCAGUCGGGAGGAAGGUGGUAAGGUUAAUAACCUUAUCAAUUGACGUUACCGACAGAAGAAGCACCGGCUAACUCCGUGCCAGCAGCCGCGGUAAUACGGAGGGUGCAAGCGUUAAUCGGAAUUACUGGGCGUAAAGCGCACGCAGGCGGUUGAUUGAGUCAGAUGUGAAAUCCCCGGGCUUAACCCGGGAAUUGCAUCUGAUACUGGUCAGCUAGAGUCUUGUAGAGGGGGGUAGAAUUCCAUGUGUAGCGGUGAAAUGCGUAGAGAUGUGGAGGAAUACCGGUGGCGAAGGCGGCCCCCUGGACAAAGACUGACGCUCAGGUGCGAAAGCGUGGGGAGCAAACAGG
rnacentral:rRNA from 1 species